AAGUUACGUGGUAACGUUGGGUUAUGAUAACAUGGGCGGGUACAAGUGAGUUUUAUGAAUGCUUUUCAAAUGUGAACAUGCUUGUCCUAAACUGUAAUAAUAUGGCAUGACUGUUGUACGCAUGUAUAUAACCUGAGCAUGACAUACACAUGAUAUUUGUGGUCCCUUAUACGUGCCGCUACGGCGGGAUUUGUCGGUACUACACCUGUGGUGUAGUGGGCAUUAACUGUAUGGUUAUGUAAGUUACGUGGUAACGUUGGGUUAUGAUAA
rnacentral:lncRNA from 1 species